UUAGUGGCAGACGGGUGAGUAACAUGUGGGUAUCUACCCUUUGGCCUGGAAUAACACGAGGAAACUUGUGCUAAUACCGGAUAAGUCUUUACGGAGAAAGCUUUAUGCACCAUUGGAUGAGCCCGCACUUGAUUAGUUUGUUGGUAGGGUAAUGGCCUACCAAGACUAUGAUCAAUAGCUGAUUUGAGAGGAUGAUCAGCCACAUUGGGACUGAGACACGGCCCAAACUCCUACGGGAGGCAGCAGUGGGGAAUCUUGCACAAUGGAGGAAACUCUGAUGCAGCGAUGCCGCGUGAGUGAAGAAGGCCUUUGGGUUGUAAAGCUCUUUCGUCGGGGAAGAAAAUGACUGUACCCGAAUAAGAAGGUCCGGCUAACUUCGUGCCAGCAGCCGCGGUAAUACGAAGGGACCUAGCGUAGUUCGGAAUUACUGGGCUUAAAGAGUUCGUAGGUGGUUGAAAAAGUUGGUGGUGAAAUCCCAGAGCUUAACUCUGGAACUGCCAUCAAAACUUUUCAGCUAGAGUAUGAUAGAGGAAAGCAGAAUUUCUAGUGUAGAGGUGAAAUUCGUAG
rnacentral:rRNA from 1 species